rnacentral:pre_miRNA from 1 species
CAUGCACUGGUGGGGUCCCUCAGCCUGGCCUGUGCCCUCUCACAAUCCGGGACUCCUCGGAGGAUGUCCGACACCUGGUGCACGGAUUUGGCGUGAUCCCCUCAGGCCAGGCUGAGAGACCCCACCAGUGCAUG